rnacentral:lncRNA from 1 species
CAUGCAUCCGGUUUAGACCGCACGUUGCAUAACUUAAAAAAUGGGUUUCUCCAAGGAGUCUUGCGAGGUUGCCAUCGCGGCCUCCUCUCGACGCACGACUAUUCGAAGCUGAUGGUCUGUGAGACUUUGGACGACGUGAAAACUUUAUUGGUAACAUGCAGAUGGGGUAGAUACGUGUUUGUUUCAUAGACUACCUGAACCUUGAUGUUUUGCAGUGCAGCACUGAUUAUCGUGCACUUAUACAAGACUUGCCAUCCCCCCUCCACUCUUCAACAAUUGUCUCUACGUGCACACAGAAAAUGGUGAACGAUUUCAACAUAUUUCGCUCACA